AACGAACGCUGGCGGCGUGCCUAACACAUGCAAGUCGAACGCGAAAGGCAGUAAUGCCGAGUAGAGUGGCGCACGGGUGAGUAACACGUAAAUGACCUGCCAUAGACACUGGGAUAACCACUCGAAAGGGUGGCUAAUACUGGAUAAGCCCCCGGGUUAGGACCUGAGGGAAAAGAUUGGGACCUUACGAGGCCAAUCGGUCUUUGAGGGUUUGCGGCCCAUCAGCUGGUUGGUGAGGUAAUGGCUCACCAAGGCAAAGACGGGUAGCUGGUCUGAGAGGAUGAUCAGCCACACUGGAACUGAGACACGGUCCAGACUCCUACGGGAGGCAGCAGUGGGAAUCUUGCGCAAUGGACGAAAGUCUGACGCAGCAACGCCGCGUGAGUGAUGAAGGUCUUCGGAUCGUAAAGCUCUGUCGGAGGGGAAGAUGCUAGUAAGUGCUAAUAGUACUUAUUGGUGACGGUACCCUCAAAGGAAGCACCGGCUAACUCUGUGCCAGCAC
rnacentral:rRNA from 1 species